rnacentral:rRNA from 1 species
UACAGAGGUCUCGAGCGUUAGGCGGAAUCACUGGGCUUAAAGCGUGUGUAGGUGGAUCGUUAAGUACCUUGUGAAAUCCCACGGCUUAACCGUAGAACUGCUUGGUAUACUGGUCGUCUUGAGCCACUUAGGGGUUACCGGAACAAAUGGUGGAGCGGUGAAAUGCGUAGAUAUCAUUUGGAACGCCAAUGGGUGAAAACAGGUAACUGGGAGUGUGC